rnacentral:rRNA from 1 species
UAACGGCGAGUGAAGAGGGAAAAGCCCAAGAUUGAAAGCUGGCGUCUUCGACGUCCGCAUUGUAAUCUCAAGAAGUGUUUUCCGCUUCGGACCAAGCCUAAGUCUCCUGGAAAGGAGCAUCGUAGAGGGUGAAAAUCCCGUACAUGGUUUGGAGCGCCCGAAGCUUUGUGAUACACUUUCUACGAGUCGAGUUGUUUGGGAAUGCAGCUCAAAAUGGGUGGUAAAUGCCAUCUAAGGCUAAAUAUUGGGGAGAGACCGAUAGCGAACAAGUACAGUGAUGGAAAGAUGAAAAGAACUUUGAAAAGAGAGUUAAAAAGUACGUGAAAUUGCCAAAAGGGAAGGGUAGGAGGUCAGAGAUGCGGUCUGGGAUUCAGCCUUGCUUUUGCUUGGUGUAUUUCCCAGUUUGCAGGCCAACGUCGGUUUUGGACACUGGAGAAGGGUAAGAGGAAUGUGGCACUCUUCGGAGUGUGUUAUAGCCUCUUACUGGAUGCAGCGACCGAGACCGAGGAACGCAGCGUACUCGAAAGAGCGGGCCUUCGGGCACCUUUACGCUUAGGGCGUUCCAUAAUGGCCCUCUACCACCCGUCUUG